rnacentral:rRNA from 1 species
CACUUCUAAGGAAGGCAGCAGGCGCGCAAAUUACCCAAUCCUGACUCAGGGAGGUAGUGACAAGAAAUAACAAUAAACCGGCUUAUGCCGGUUUAAUUGGGAUGAGUACAAUUUAAACAUCUUAACGAGGAACAAUUGGAGGGCAAGUCUGGUGCCAGCAGCCGCGGUAAUUCCAGCUCCAAUAGCGUAUACUAAAGUUGUUGCAGUUAAAAAGCUCGUAGUUGGAUUUCUGUGGGGACGGAGCGGCCGGCCGCAACUCGCGGUUCGAGCUAGCGCUUUCCCUACAUCCUGCCGCGAACCGUGCUACCAUUAGUUUGGUGGCGCCGGGGAUCGGCUCGAUUACUUUGAGAAAAAUAGAGUGUUCAAAGCAGGCCACAUGCCUUGAAUAAGUUAGCAUGGAAUAAUAACUAAGGACUUCGGUUCUAUUUUGUUGGUGUUCGGGACUGAAGUAAUGAUUGAUAGGGACAGUUGGGGCGGUCUGUAUUCCAAAGCGAGAGGUGAAAUUCUUAGACCUUCGGAAGACAAACAGCUGCGAAAGCGUUCCGCAAGGAUGUUCCCUUUGAUCAAGAACGAAAGUUGGGGGAUCGAAGACGAUCAGAUACCGUCGUAGUCUCAACUAUAAACUAUACCAGCUAGGGAUCGGCCAACGUUAUUUCAAACCGACUUGGUCGGCACCUUAUGAGAAAUCAAAGCAUCUGGGUUCCGGGGGGAGUAUGGUCGCAAGGCUGAAACUUAAAGGAAUUGACGGAAGGGCACCACCAGCCGUGGAGCCUGUGGCUUAAUUUGACUCAACACGGGAAAACUUACCAGGUCCAGACAUAGUAAGGAUUGACAGAUUGAUAGCUCUUUCUUGAUUCUGUGGGUGGUGGUGCAUGGCCGUUCUUAGUUGGUGGAGUGAUUUGUCUGGUUAACUCCGUUAACGAACGAGACCCCAGCCUGCUAAAUAGCGCGCGUGAGCUUUGCUCGCGGCGAGCUUCUUAGAGGGACUCUGAUGCGCGAUAGCACAUGGAAGUUUGGGGCAAUAACAGGUCUGUGAUGCCCUUAGAUGUUCUGGGCCGCACACGGGCUACACUGGCGCCUGCAUCGAGCAUAUCAGCUGGCCCGAGAGGGUCUUGGCUAAUCUUUUGAACCGGCGCCGUGCUUGGGAUUGACCUUUGCAAUUGUUGGUCAUGCAACGAGGAAUGCCUUGUAAACGCGAGUCAUCAGCUCGCAUUGAAUACGUCCCUGCCCUUUGUACACACCGCCCGUCGCUCCUACCGAUGAAUGUUCCGAUGAAAUUUUCGGAGAGCACCUGUGAACUUGGCUCUGCCUUGCGAACGGGAGGCUCAAAGUCACUUAAAUCUGAACAUUUCGAGG